rnacentral:lncRNA from 1 species
UGAGAAGAGGAGAACAACAACGCUACUCUUAACAAUUAUAAAUAAAUAAAUAAUUAAAAAAUAAAAAAUAAAACCAGCACUACUCUUAAAAUUAAUUAAAGGAAAAAAAAAAGGAAAAAGUUUAGAAGUUUUUAAAGUUUAAUUAAGAAAAGGGAUUUGAGAUUUGAGUGGGUGAGUUCUUAAUUAGUGGCGGAUACUAUUAGGCAUUUUCAAAAAGAGUAGAGGGCAUGUGAAGCAAACGGUAAAAGCAUGAGAGACAGAAGCCCCAAUCCAAAUGCAUCCUGUCAUUCUAGUAAAAGAAAGAAGACCUAGAUCGAUUAACUUAAUCCUAAUGAUAAUGGCAACAUUGUGGCCAAACAAAGAAGACCCCAAUUAACUUUAUGGGCUGAAAAGAAACAAGGUAAGUUCAUCUUUGCUUUCUUUUUCUCAGUUGGUGGAAGCUUUAUUGUUUUUAACCAUCAUUAUGCAUGAUUUUAC